AACAGGACUUUCUCUGCACAAGCUCUCUUUUUGCCUGCUGCUGUCUGCAUAAGAUGUGACUUAUUCCUCCUUGCCUGCUGCCAUGAUUGUGAGGUCUCCCCAGUCAUGUGGAACUGUAAGUCCAAUAAACCUUUUUCUUUUUUAAAUUGCCCAGUCUCGGGUAUGUCUUUAUCAGCAGCACAAAAACGGACUAAUACAGUAUCCAAAUUAAAAUUUAGAAUGAAAAGCAGGUUUCAUCUUCAAUUCAUCCCUAGAUCACCACUUGGAUCUCUGCUCCAGAUUUCCAGGGUACCAAGUCUGCAUGCACACGAAAGAUUCAGGAAGAUUGUACAUCUUGGCCAACAUGGUCCUACUUUAUACCCGUUGUCCUGGCAUAAUUAGUAAUGGCACCCUCCUUAACUCUCAAAAGUGUCCUAGUUUAUGUGAAAAGUCAUAAGGCCAUCCAAAGUAAGGAGGAAUCAGCAGUGACUAAACAUAAACUUUUGGGAGCAGGUUUAUUUAUUCAAAUCUGUCCAAGCCUUCAGAUGAAGCUAAGUAGGCUUGGCAUUGUAUUGUAAGUGUACAGAUAAUUAAUCUAAAUAAACUUCCAAAAUAUCCCAACCAGAAUGGUUCAAUAAAAGCAGUAUGUCAUAAAUUUUAAAAUCACAGACAAUGUAGGAAAGGCUAUCAAUAUGUGAAAAAUAUUGAACUUCACCAAUAAUCAAGAAAGAAAUUUCAAUAACAAUGAGGUAACAUUUUCCUUAUCAGAAUAUUUAAAAAUUACUUAAAACUCUAAUACCCAGUGUCAGGAUAGGUGUGAUCAAAGGAACUCUCAUAUACUGCUGGUAGGUUUCUAAAUUGGCUAAUACAAACUUUCUGGAAUGCUAUUUGAUAACAUGUUUUAAACAUCUUUAUCAAGUUUAUAUUCCAUAACCUGUUAUUAAUUCAGAAAAUACUUAUUGAAUACCUACUACGUGCUAGGCACUAAGGGAUAAAGUGGUAAAAGAGAUAGGUGCUAUUUUCUCCAAAUGGGAUUUCAGUCUAGUGGAGGAACAGACAUUACAGGGAAAAAAACACACAAGAAUUUAAAUUACAGUUUGCAGUAAAUACCCAAAAAGUAGACUCACAUGAUGCUGAGAGAGGAACAUGUGCUUAGUACAUGUAUUGGAUGAGGUAUCAGGAAAUGGGUUGAGCAGCUGAAGAGGGAGGGAAGGGUGAAUAAAGGCUUGAAUAAAGGCUUGAAUAAAGGUUUUGAGGCUGGAAGAAGCUUAGCACAUUGGAGUAAAAGGAAGGAACCACUAGGUUGGAGUAAGAGAGUACGGGGGAAAAAGUGGCAAGCUGAAGGUAGAGAGUGAGGAGGGAUUGCAACUAAGAUUUUUAUCUUAACAGCCACUCAAGGAUUGUGAAAGCAGAUUGGUAUUUUUGAAACUCUCUGAUGGUGGCUUCAAUGAGGGUGGGGAAGACAGAAAUAAAUAGAAAUAUUAAAGAUAUUUAGGAAGUGGAAUCAACAGGAUCUAGUGACUAAAUAGAUGGGGGUAGUGAGGGAGAGAAGAGAUGUCACUGAUGGGUUCCAGUUUUGAAGGUUUGGUAGGGGAGAAAAAACAAGGAAGAUAUUGAAUCUUUUCUGGAUAUUCUAUAUCUAAGAUGUUAUAAGACAUACAAGUUGAGAUUACAAGUAGAUAUUUAGUUAUGUAAGUUUGGAGCUUAGCAGAGAGUACUGGGGCUGAAGAUACAAAGAUGGGAAUCAUAGCAUGUGGAUGGUAUUUGAAAGCUUCGCCUUGGGUGACAUGGUUUUGAGACAAAUAUGGAGUGAGAAGAGAAGACCAAGUUCCUAGUCCUAAUGGACUCUAGCCCAUAUAGAACUAGGAGAAGAAGCAUGAGUUUGUAAGGAAGAUGGGGACAGAAGCAGGGAAGGGCCAAUAGUUACUUUUCUAAUAAUCUAGCUUAGGGACACAGAAAUGAGGAUCUAGAUAGAUUUAUGCAUGAAGAGGCUCACUGUGGCAUUUACAGUAGUGAAAAAUUAGCUUCAACCUCAAAUGUC